rnacentral:rRNA from 1 species
UACGUAGGGGGCGAGCGUUGUCCGGAAUGACUGGGCGUAAAGGGCGUGUAGGCGGCCGAUUAAGUCUGAAGUGAAAGUCCCGGUUUCAGGUUGGGAAUUGCUUUGGAUACUGGUUGGCUUGAGUGCGGAAGAGGUAAGUGGAGUUCCCAGUGUAGCGGUGAAAUGCGUAGAGAUUGGGAGGAACACCAGUGGUGAAGGCGACUUACUGGGCCGUAACUGACGCUGAGGCGCGAAAGCGUGGGGAGCGAAC